GUGGCAUUAGAAAUCGCCUCAUUAUUAUUGGAAACAGCUGUCCAUAUGCUUGCUGCUAUAAGGAGAAAGAACAUGGCACUAUUACGAGCUAAAUUUGGAUGUGUGAUGCAGAAGAGAAAUUUAUCCAGAUGGAGGUGACUGAUUCAUGACUGUCAGCCCAGAAGUGUCAACAUGGUCCCAAUCAACACCAUCAGGAGGAACUGUGAUCCAGUCGCCACGGCAACCAAGCCCAGCGGUUUCAGGAAUACUCGAGAAAUUAUAAACAAGACGUUAUAUAAGGAAAAUGAAAACAAAAAGAAAUUAUUAUGAGUGUGUCAACAGUGUGUGAGUUCCAAUGUCACUGUCCUCAGAUUAAAC